AGUGAACGCUGGCGGUAGGCCUAACACAUGCAAGUCGAACGGCAGCACAGUAAGAGCUUGCUCUUACGGGUGGCGAGUGGCGGACGGGUGAGGAAUACAUCGGAAUCUACUUUUUCGUGGGGGAUAACGUAGGGAAACUUACGCUAAUACCGCAUACGACCUACGGGUGAAAGCAGGGGAUCUUCGGACCUUGCGCGAUUGCAUGAGCCGAUGUCGGAUUAGCUAGUUGGCGGGGUAAAGGCCCACCAAGGCGACGAUCCGUAGCUGGCCUGAGAGGAUGAUCAGCCACACUGGAACUGAGACACGGUCCAGACUCCUACGGGAGGCAGCAGUGGGGAAUAUUGGACAAUGGGCGCAAGCCUGAUCCAGCCAUACCGCGUGGGUGAAGAAGGCCUUCGGGUUGUAAAGCCCUUUUGUUGGGAAAGAAAAGCAGCAGGUUAAUACCCCGCUGUUCUGACGGUACCCAAAGAAUAAGCACCGGCUAACUUCGUG
rnacentral:rRNA from 1 species